rnacentral:rRNA from 1 species
CACGUAGGGUGCGAGCGUUGUCCGGAAUUAUUGGGCGUAAAGAGCUCGUAGGCGGUGUGUCGCGUCGGCCGUGAAAACCUGCAGCUUAACUGUGGGCUUGCGGUCGAUACGGGCAUCACUGGAGUUCGGCAGGGGAGACUGGAAUUCCUGGUGUAGCGGUGAAAUGCGCAGAUAUCAGGAGGAACACCGGUGGCGAAGGCGGGUCUCUGGGCCGAUACUGACGCUGAGGAGCGAAAGCGUGGGGAGCAAACAGGAUA